UCGAUGCGCUUAAAUGCCCAGCGUGGGCC
rnacentral:sRNA from 1 species